UACAGAGGGUGCGAGCGUUGUCCGGAAUCACUGGGCGUAAAGGGCGCGUAGGUGGCCUGAUAAGUAGGGGGUGAAAUCUCGAGGCUCAACUUCGAGGCUGCCUCCUAAACUGUCAGGCUUGAGCAGAGUAGAGGCAGGUGGAAUUCCCGGUGUAGCGGUGGAAUGCGUAGAGAUCGGGAAGAACAUCGGUGGCGAAGGCGGCUCACUGGGUCUUUGCUGACGCUGAGGCACGAAAGCUAGGGUAGCGAACGGG
rnacentral:rRNA from 1 species